AAAAUACAAGUUAACACCGGCUAGCGCCCCCUUCCCUUCACCCCCUCUCGACAUCCACGAUACCCGACGACGACCCUUCUCAUUCAACCCCUCGGCCACCCACAUCGUACACAUUCAAGUCGAGUGGCCACACAGCGACAACAUUACGCUCAAGUGGUCACAUGAAGACGACACCAACUCAAGUGGCUGCAAUGACCCGGCCGCUGGGCCACAAGAGCUACAGCGGCAGCACCAGCAAUAGCGACAGCAGCAGCACCAGCAAUAGCGACGGCGGCAGCAGCAGCUAAACAGCGGCAGAGAUGCAACAGCAGCGAUGCAGCUGCAGCGACGCGACGAUGGAGACAGAACGACAGCGGCAGCGCGAGAACGACAGCGGCAGCGCCAGAACGUCAGCGGCAGAAGAGCAACGGCAGCAACAAGCAAGCGAAAGACUGUUGACCGCCCGCUAGCUGCCUCAGCUCAACAGCCGCCGCCCCUACCACUGCGCUAGAUAAAAUGCAGCGCUCACAUCCGGACCAACCAAAACCGCUGCCGUCGGCUACGGUACUUCCGCGUCUGCCAACGGCAUGCUGACGCCGGAGGACCGGAGUUGGUUAAGAGGCCAACCCACUAGUAUUUAAGAGCUCACUUCUGUAACCACCGCAGUACAGUGUGGACCUAAUAUUAGACUAUCACAAUAAAAUUAUAACGUAAUCCGAAGAUAAAGUUGUUGCCUUUUUUGAGAACUACAAACACAAGUGAGCAAGAUGCUGCUGAUGAACACCACCAUAAGAACUCUGUAAGAACACCACAAGACUACAAGAAAACGGCAAAAAAAACACACACAAGUUGGGAAAAAACCACAGAAUCUUUGCGAAGCAAGAAAGAAACCAACGGAAAUAAUUAUAACAGUAUCCAUCAUAAUAGCAAUCUACCUUGUUUGGAGGAAGAUAACAUCAACCAAAGGGAUCCCAAGGCUGCGAGACCCCACCUGCGAACCUCGAACCGACAAAGGCUUAAGGAUCUGUGGGACACAGAUCUUGUGGUGGGGAGGAGUUAACACCGGCUAGCGCCCCCUUCCCUUCACCCCCUCUCGACAUCCACGAUACCCGACGACGACCCUUCUCAUUCAACCCCUCGGCCACCCACAUCGUACACAUUCAAGUCGAGUGGCCACACAGCGACAACAUUACGCUCAAGUGGUCACAUGAAGACGACACCAACUCAAGUGGCUGCAAUGACCCGGCCGCUGGGCCACAAGAGCUACAGCGGCAGCACCAGCAAUAGCGACAGCAGCAGCACCAGCAAUAGCGACGGCGGCAGCAGCAGCUAAACAGCGGCAGAGAUGCAACAGCAGCGAUGCAGCUGCAGCGACGCGACGAUGGAGACAGAACGACAGCGGCAGCGCGAGAACGACAGCGGCAGCGCCAGAACGUCAGCGGCAGAAGAGCAACGGCAGCAACAAGCAAGCGAAAGACUGUUGACCGCCCGCUAGCUGCCUCAGCUCAACAGCCGCCGCCCCUACCACUGCGCUAGAUAAAAUGCAGCGCUCACAUCCGGACCAACCAAAACCGCUGCCGUCGGCUGCGGUACUUCCGCGUCUGCCAACGGCAUGCUGACGCCGGAGGACCGGAGUUGGUUAAGAGGCCAACCCACUAGUAUUUAAGAGCUCACUUCUGCAACCACCACAGUACAGUGUGGACCUAAUAUUAGACUAUCACAAUAAAAUUAUAACGUAAUCCGAAGAUAAAGUUGUUGCCUUUUUUGAGAACUACAAACACAAGUGAGCAAGAUGCUGCUGAUGAACACCACCAUAAGGUAAUAUAGGGGAGCUUCGCACCCCCCCGGCCAUGA